UAACAAUUUGGCUAUUCAUACGCUUUAAGCUAACUUAAGGGUAAAAUGUAUAUGAUUUGAACACAAAUAGACCUCGCAAACAACUCAACAUUCAGAUAUGCAAACCCAUCUGUAGCAUCCCUCUGGGAGGUCGUGCAUCAAUUAAGAGAAUUUGUUCAAUAUGUAAUUUUACAACGCUGAGUAAACAAAACACUUAAGAUUGUUUAGGCCUAUGUCGUCGAGCUUUAUCACGUUCAGCUUGUUAUCAUUCCACACAAGAAACAGUCAAAGUUAACCCAAGUAUAAUUAAGAUGUUCAUCCAGCAAUCCAUCUCCGAACUCAUCUCCUCGUUAAACUGACUUAUCUAUCUCUUUCGCCAGUCGACACAGAUUCAUAAACAGGGAUUCGACCAUAUACUCAUAUGUUUUCAAACAAGAUGCCAGUAAAAGAAACACUUACCCUAAUCUCAAUCUCGUAACUCAGUCGCUAACUCGGGCUAAACACUGCCAUCUUCUAUACAACAAAACCAAGAUAAAACGACACGCCUUAAAUAUCGAUUAAAACAAAGCAGUUAACCAUUUAGUCAGGGAAUGAAGUCCGAUCCUUUAUGCUUCAACAGGACAACCGAUUCAAGAAAAGCUAACAGAUACCAGCUGCUUUCAAGGGAAGCAAAAUACACACUAAUAAGUUUUAUGUUAAAUGCUGUUUUAAGAGGUUCAACAAAUAGAAAUGACCAAUGGAGACAUGAACCUCACUUGUCAUCUCAAAUUAUAAGACAUAAGGAUCGCAUACAUUUGAGUAGAACUUUAGUAGCUCUAGACAAGCAAGAACAGAGCAAAUAGUUACAAAAACCAGGGAAAAAGAAGAUUAAACAAUUCUUUGAAUUCUAGCCUAAUGAAAGAAAAAUUAUGAUAAACACAAUGAUCUCAUGGGAGCAGAUCAUUUAGAGUCCAGAAAACACACACAAUGAGAAAUAACCUCACAGUUUCAUGCUCGCUUAGCAAUCACAGAAGUUGAACACAUUGUUUAUUUGAAAGCAACAAAAACUUGACUCAAAUGAAACUCCACAUCACAAUAACAGUUAAAUCAUAGAAAAGCGACCACUCAAAACCAACUUCUACUAACUGAAAAUAUUCAAAUUCAUCAUACUGCUGAGAAGCACUUCAACCACAAAAUAAUCACGCCCAAAACCAAACAUCAAUCUGAACAAAAUCUCACUGCUCAAAUAUACUUUAUAACAUAUAUGCGAAAUAGAAAGAAAUCGAACCUGUAAUUCAAAUCCUUUUAAUAACUAUGUUCACGACAAUACACCUUUUGAUUCCGAAUCCAAUCGAGGUUCAGUAGCGACUCAGCGGAACAACAAUAGAAACAGCUCGAACUUCAAUUUGUAUCCCCCAGGAACUCAAAUCUGUAUUCAAAAGAAGAAGCAAAUUUGUAUCUAUGUUUUCUUAAACUUUAAAUGACCUCGUUCAAGAAAAUCAACCCGGAAAAACCCCUUUUUGUUCCCAGAAAACCUUUCGACCUCUUUUUCUCUAAAUUUUUUUCAGCCCCCCCUAACAAAAUAUGAUCGAGCUUCUUUUUGGAUAUGAAUUCCUGAUGAAUGUGGGGCUUGGAUUGAGUGAAAUCAAUCCAAUGCCUCACACUCAUCUAGCAAAUCCUUUCCAGAAGCUUCUAAUCAAAGAUAAGGCUCAAUCCAGCGAGUAGGAGGAAUCUUCCACCAGAAACUGUUAGAAAUAGCAAGAUGAGAGAAUGAGGGACGCGUGGUUAUGGGUUUGAGAUUCACUCGCCUGAAUUUGGACUGAAUUAGAGCUGAUUCGGGUGUGUUUUGUGGAGAAGAGGAAUAGUCACGCGGUGUUCUCUG
rnacentral:lncRNA from 1 species